UGACGUCAAAUCAUCAUGCCCCUUACUGACCUGGGCGUACACACGUGCUACAAUGGUUGGUACAACGAGUUGCGAGUCGGUGACGGCGAGCUAAUCUCUUAAAGACCAAUCUCAGUUCGGAUUGUAGGCUGCAACUCGCCUACAUGAAGUCGGAAUCGCUAGUAAUCGCGGAUCAGCACGCCGCGGUGAAUACGUUCCCGGGCCUU
rnacentral:rRNA from 1 species